GUAGUCUCGCACAGAUGCAUAUCAAUAAGCGGAGGAAAAGAAACUAACAAGGAUUCCCCUAGUAACGGCGAGUGAAGCGGGAAGAGCUCAAAUUUGAAAUCUUAAAGGGUUUCCCUUUACGAAUUGUAGUUUAAAGAAGUGUUUUCUGUUGAGGUUUUGGUAAAAGUUCUUUGGAAUAGGACAUCAUAGAGGGUGAGAAUCCCGUAUUUGACCUUUACUUUCAACUUUGUGAUACACUUUCAGAGAGUCGGAUUGUUUGGGAAUGCAGUCCAAAAUGGGUGGUAAAUUUCAUCUAAAGCUAAAUAUUGGCGAGAGACCGAUAGCGAACAAGUACCGUGAGGGAAAGAUGAAAAGAACUUUGAAAAGAGAGUUAAACAGUACGUGAAAUUGUCAAAAGGGAAGCGUUUGACACCAGUGUUGUUUUUCUGAAAAUCAAUUAAAGAACUGUUUAUGCUAAGCUGUUUAGACUUUAUCAGCUAUCUGUUUAGUUUUGAGCUUUUCUUUAAUGCACUUUUCAGUUAACAAGUCAACAUCAAUUUCUUUUGCUGUAAAAAAGCUUGGGGAAGGUGGCUUGAGAUUCGUCUUAAGUGUUUAUAGCCUCUUGCCUAUGCAGUCGGAGAGAUUGAGGUCUGCAGCGUAGAUCCUUCGGGGCUAAAUGCAUUUGUGCUAAGUUAUAACAUUUUAUAGACAACUUGUUGACUAUGAUUUGUCUUGUAGCUUACUCGCUUAUGUUAUUUUACCUACGCUUAGGAUGUUGACAGCAGUAUAGACUGU
rnacentral:rRNA from 1 species